CCAAACCCAGUAUCUUUGGGACGAGAUGGACGGUGUUGUUGACCAAACCCAGUAUCUUUGGGACGAGAUGGACGGUGUUGUUGACCAAACCCAGUAUCUUUGGGACGAGAUGGACGGUGUUGUUGACCAAACCCAGUAUCUUUGGGACGAGAUGGACGGUGUUGUUGACCAAACCCAGUAUCUUUGGGACGAGAUGGACGGUGUUGUUGACCAAACCCAGUAUCUUUGGGACGAGAUGGACGGUGUUGUUGACCAAACCCAGUAUCUUUGGGACGAGAUGGACGGUGUUGUUGACCAAACCCAGUAUCUUUGGGACGAGAUGGACGGUGUUGUUGACCGAACCCAGUGUCUUUGGGACGAGAUGGAAGGUGGUGUUGACCAAACCCAGUAUCUCUGGGACGAGAGGGAAGGUGUUGUUGACCAAACCCAGUAUCUUUGGGACGAGAGGGAAGGUGUUGUUGACCAAACCCAGUAUCUUUGGGACGAGAGGGAAGGUGUUGUUGUCCAAACCCAGUAUCUUUGGGACGAGAGGGAAGGUGUUGUUGACCAAACCCAGUAUCUUUGGGACGAGAUGGAAGGUGUUGUUGUCCAAACCCAGUAUCUUUGGGACGAGAGGGAAGGUGUUGUUGACCAAACCCAGUAUCUUUGGGACGAGAUGGAAGGUGUUGUUGUCCAAACCCAG